GACGAACGCUGGCGGCGUGCUUAACACAUGCAAGUCGAACGAUGAAGCUGGAGCUUGCUCCGGUGGAUUAGUGGCGAACGGGUGAGUAACACGUGAGCAAUCUGCCCUUGACUCUGGGAUAACUGCGGGAAACUGUAGCUAAUACCGGAUACGAGACCUGAAGGCAUCUUCGGGUCUGGAAAGAAUUUCGGUCAAGGAUGAGCUCGCGACCUAUCAGCUUGUUGGUGAGGUAAUGGCUCACCAAGGCGACGACGCGUAGCCGGCCUGACAGGGUGACCGGCCACACUGGGAAUGAGAAACGGCCCAGACUCCUACGGGAGGCAGCAGUGGUGAAUAUUGCACAAUGGGCGAAAGCCUGAUGCAGCAACGCCGCGUGAGGGAUGAAGGCCUUCGGGUUGUAAACCUCUUUUAGCAAGGAAGAAUCUAAAGUAACGGUACCUGCAGAACAAGCACCGGCUAACUACCUGCCAGCCGCCCCGGUAA
rnacentral:rRNA from 1 species